GCUAUGCCGCACGCCGGCGUUUAGAGCAGGGUCCCCAAGGAGGGCAUAGCACUCCUGCCAUCCUUAAAGGACCACUAUAGGCACCCAGACCACUUCAGCUUAAUGAAGUGGUCUGGGUGCCAGGUCCAUCUAGGAUUAACCCUUUCUGCUGUAAACAUAGCAGUUUCAGGGAAACUGCUAUGUUUACAUUAGGGUUAAUUCAGCCUCUAGUGGCUGUCUAUGAUUUUCACAGUGAGAAGACGCCAGCGUCCAUAGGAAAGCAUUGAGAAUGGAGUCUUAAAG